rnacentral:rRNA from 1 species
GGAGGGUGCAAGCGUUAAUCGGAAUUACUGGGCGUAAAGCGCACGCAGGCGGUUUGUUAAGUCAGAUGUGAAAUCCCCGGGCUCAACCUGGGAACUGCAUCUGAUACUGGCAAGCUUGAGUCUCGUAGAGGGGGGUAGAAUUCCAGGUGUAGCGGUGAAAUGCGUAGAGAUCUGGAGGAAUACCGGUGGCGAAGGCGGCCCCCUGGACGAAGACUGACGCUCAGGUGCGAAAGCGUGGGGGAGCAAACAGGAUUAGAUACCCUGGUAGUCCACGCCGUAAACGAUGUCGACUUGGAGGUUGUGCCCCUUGAGGCGUGGCUUCCGGAGCUAACGCGUUAAGUCGACCGCCUGGGGAUACGGCCGCAAGGUUA